rnacentral:rRNA from 1 species
UUGGAGGGACAAGUCUGGUGCCAGCAGCCGCGGUAAUUCCAGCUCCAAUAGCGUAUAUUAAAGUUGUUGCAGUUAAAAAGCUCGUAGUUGAAUUUCGGGAUCAGUACGCUGGUCGUACCUUCGGUACGUACUGGUGUCACUGAUUCCUCCCUUCUGAAGAACCGUCAUGCCAUUCAGUUGGUGUGGCAGGGAAUCAGGACUGUUACUUUGAAAAAAUUAGAGUGUUUAAAGCAGGCUCGCGCUUGAAUACAUUAGCAUGGAAUAAUGAAAUAGGUCGAUUGAUCCUAUUUUGUUGGUUUCUAGGAUCGACGUAAUGAUUAAUAGGGAUAGUUGGGGGCAUUAGUAUUCAAUUGUCAGAGGUGAAAUUCUUGGAUUUAUUGAAGACUAACUACUGCGAAAGCAUUUGCCAAGGAUGUUUUCAUUAAUCAAGAACGAAAGUUAGGGGAUCGAAGACGAUCAGAUACCGUCGUAGUCUUAACCAUAAACUAUGCCGACUAGGGAUCGGAUGAUGUUAAUUUUAUUAAUGACUCAUUCGGCGCCUUACGGGAAAC